rnacentral:rRNA from 1 species
GACAGAGGGUGCAACCGUUGUUCGGAAUUACUGGGCGUAAAGCGCGUGUAGGCGGUUGUUCAAGCCAGGUGUGAAAGCCUUGAGCUCAACUCAAGAAAUGCACUUGAUACUGGAUGACUAGAGGACCGGAGAGGAUAGUGGAAUUCCCAGUGUAGUGGUGAAAUACGUAGAGAUUGGGAAGAACACCAGUGGCGAAGGCGGCUAUCUGGACGGUUUCUGACGCUAAGACGCGAAAGCGUGGGGAGCAAACAGG